rnacentral:rRNA from 1 species
UACGUAGGGGGCAAGCGUUGUCCGGAUUUAUUGGGCGUAAAGAGCGUGUAGGCGGCCAAGCAGGUCAGCUGUGAAAACUCGAGGCUCAACCUCGAGACGUCGGUUGAAACCGUUUGGCUAGAGUCCGGAAGAGGAGAGUGGAAUUCCCGGUGUAGCGGUGAAAUGCGCAGAUAUCGGGAAGAACACCCGUGGCGAAGGCGGCUCUCUGGGACGGUACUGACGCUGAGGUGCGAAAGCGUGGGGAGCAAACAGG